GGGGGAUAUUGCGCAAUGGGGGCAACCCUGACGCAGCAACGCCGCGUGAAGGAUGAAGGUUUUCGGAUUGUAAACUUCUUUUAUUAAGGACGAAACUUGACGGUACUUAAUGAAUAAGCUCCGGCUAACUACGUGCCAGCAGCCGCGGUAAUACGUAGGGAGCAAGCGUUGUCCGGAAUUACUGGGUGUAAAGGGAGCGUAGGCGGGAUCGCAAGUCAGAUGUGAAAACUAUGGGCUUAACCCAUAAACUGCAUUUGAAACUGUGGUUCUUGAGUGAAGUAGAGGUAAGCGGAAUUCCUAGUGUAGCGGUGAAAUGCGUAGAUAUUAGGAGGAACAUCAGUGGCGAAGGCGGCUUACUGGGCUUUAACUGACGCUGAGGCUCGAAAGCGUGGGGAGCAAACAGGAUUAGAUACCCUGGUAGUCCACGCCGUAAACGAUGAUUACUAGGUGUGGGGGGACUGACCCCUUCCGUGCCGCAGCAAACGCAAUAAGUAAUCCACCUGGGGAGUACGACCGCAAGGUUGAAACUCAAAGGAAUUGACGGGGGCCCGCACAAGCAGUGGAGUAUGUGGAUUAAUUCGAAGCAACGCGAAGAACCUUACCAGGUCUUGACAUCGUAUGCAUAGCUCAGAGAUGAGUGAAAUCUCUUCGGAGACAUAUAGACAGGUGGUGCAUGGUUGUCGUCAGCUCGUGUCGUGAGAUGUUGGGUUAAGUCCCGCAACGAGCGCAACCCUUACUGUUAGUUGCUACGCAAGAGCACUCUAGCAGGACUGCCGUUGACAAAACGGAGGAAGGUGGGGAUGACGUCAAAUCAUCAUGCCCCUUAUGACCUGGGCCUCACACGUACUACAAUGGCUGUAAACAGAGGGAAGCAAAGCCGCGAGGUAGAGCGAACCCCUAAAAGCAGUCUUAGUUCGGAUUGUAGGCUGCAACCCGACUCCAUGAAGCUGGAUUCGCUAGUAAUCGCGCAUCAGCCACGGCGCGGUGAAUACGUUCCCG
rnacentral:rRNA from 1 species